UUAUUACGGAGAGUUUGAUUCUGGCUCAGAACGAACGCUGGCGGCGCGUUUUAAACAUGCAAGUCGAACGAGAACCUUGGUGCUUGCAUUGAGGGGACAGUGGCGAACGGGUGAGUAACACGUGGAUAAUCUACCUCUAGGAUGGGGACAACCACUGGAAACGGUGGCUAAUACCAAAUGAUAUGGUUAUUACAUAAGUAGUGAUCAUCAAAGGUGGGGACCUUCGGGCCUAUCGCCUGGAGAUGAGUCCGCGGCCCAUUAGCUUGUUGGUGAGGUAAAAGCUCACCAAGGCGACGAUGGGUAGCCGGCCUGAGAGGGUGAACGGCCACAUUGGGACUGAGACACGGCCCAGACUCCUACGGGAGGCAGCAGUUAAGAAUCUUGCGCAAUGGGCGAAAGCCUGACGCAGCGACGCCGCGUGGACGAUGAAGGCCUUCGGGUUGUAAAGUCCAAUAAGCAGGGAAGAAUAAGCAAAGGGUAAUAUUCUUUGCGAUGACGGUACCUGUCUAAAGCCCCGGCUAACUACGUGCCAGCAGCCGCGGUAAUACGUAUGGGGCUAGCGUUGUUCGGAAUUAUUGGGCGUAAAGGGCGUCUAGGCGGGGAAUUAAGUUAGGUGUGAAAUCCAAGGGCUCAACCCAUGAAUUGCAUCUAAAACUGAUUCUCUUGAGUUCGGGAGAGGAGAGCGGAAUUCCUGGUGUAGCGGUGAAAUGCGUAGAUAUCAGGAGGAACACCGGUGGCGAAGGCGGCUCUCUGGCCUAGAACUGACGCUGAAGCGCGAAAGCGUGGGGAGCAAACGGGAUUAGAUACCCCGGUAGUCCACGCUGUAAACGUUGUAUACUAGGUGUUAGUGACUUGUUCACUAGUGCCGACGCUAACGCAUUAAGUAUACCGCCUGGGGAGUACGACCGCAAGGUUGAAACUCAAAGAAAUUGACGGGGGCCCGCACAAGCGGUGGAGCAUGUGGUUUAAUUCGAUGAUACGCGAAAAACCUUACCUGGGCUUGAACUGUACAUGACAGGUGUAGAGAUACACCCUUCUUCGGACAUGUAUAGAGGUGCUGCAUGGUUGUCGUCAGCUCGUGUCGUGAGAUGUUGGGUUAAGUCCCGCAACGAGCGCAACCCUUACUCCUUGUUGCCAUCAGGUAAUGCUGAGCACUCUAGGGGAACUGCCGGUGACAAACCGGAGGAAGGUGGGGAUGACGUCAAAUCAUCACGGCCCUUAUGUCCAGGGCUACACACGUGCUACAAUGGCCGGUACAAUGAGAAGCAAGACUGCGAAGUGGAGCAAAUCUCAAAAAACCGGUCUCAGUUCGGAUCGGAGUCUGCAACUCGACUCCGUGAAGUUGGAAUCGCUAGUAAUCGUGGAUCAGCACGCCACGGUGAAUACGUUCCCGGGCCUUGUACACACCGCCCGUCACACCACCCGAGUUGGCAGCACCCGAAGUAGCUGAUCUAACCCGCAAGGGAGGAAGGUUCCUAAGGUGAAGCUGGUGAGGGGGGUGAAGUCGUAACAAGGUAGCCGUAUCGGAAGGUGCGGCUGGAUCACCUCCUUUAAAAGGAA
rnacentral:rRNA from 1 species